rnacentral:misc_RNA from 1 species
CUUAACUACUCCACUGCUCAUAGGUGUAUUACAUUUAUCUUAAGUUGACAACCGCAAAGACGCAAUAGAACUUCUGCUUCACCACAUAUCUCACAAGCGCAAGUUUACUACAUAGCCCAUAUGUUCACUACAUCAGACAUGAAAUGAGAACUUAAAGCAUCCAUAUGAUCUGCAAUUUUUUUUACAUACAUGGUUGUUUGGGAAAGAGUGAUGGAGAUGGGAUUCCAAGUUGAUCAAAGAUAGAUUGGAUAAGAAUCUAUUUUAAUGAAUUCUGCAGCUUAGGGAAAAUUGCAUCAACAUGGAUAUGAUACAUUGGAUCAGCAAGCCAAAGUCUAGCUAUGUAAUGAUGAGAUGAUGUAGACCUGUGAACUUCUUCAAUAAGCCAGAUGGUUGCUUCAGCUUUUCUAGGAUCGAUGAUGGUAUCUAAUGGAACAUCUUCAUCAUCACUACCAAACCUCAUUGAAUCCAACUUCUUCAUGUGGACAUUGGUCAAGUAAUGUAGGGGUUGCCCAUAUAACUCCUUCAUGGAUGCAGCCAAUCCAACCCAUGAGGUGAAAGGGAUAACAAAGCCACGCUGUGUGGGCAUAGCGACCACCUUCAUGUACUCUUGGUACAUUCUUGCUCUUCUAAAGAUUGAAUAUUCAGAAUCAAAUUUGCUAACAGGUUGAUCGAUGGUGAUGGUAUUUUUCAUCCAUUUGCUCUCCGUUAUCGUGUCAUCUGUAUUAGAGGAAGAUGAGUCACCCGAUGAUAUCUCCACCUGGUCACCAAAUGACACUGCUCCGUUCAUAACUGUAGCUAAAAAGAGACAACCAGAUCUGACGAACACGAUGAAAA